ensembl:rRNA 5S_rRNA 5S ribosomal RNA
AUCUAUGGCCAUAACCACCCGAAUGUGCCUGAUCUCAUCUGAUCUCAGAAGCUAAGCAGGGUCAGCCUGGUUAGUACUGGGAUGGGAGAAAUAAAUUCUGUCUCUGCUGAUU